GCUCAACCGAGGAAGUGCUUCGAAAACUGGUAAACUUGAGUGCAGAAGAGGAAAGUGGAACUCCAUGUGUAGCGGUGGAAUGCGUAGAUAUAUGGAAGAACACCAGUGGCGAAGGCGGCUUUCUGGUCUGUAACUGACGCUGAGAUUCGAAAGCAUGGGUAGCAAACAGGAUUAGAUACCCUGGUAGUCCAUGCCGUAAACGAUGAGUGCUAAGUGUUGGAGGGUUUCCGCCCUUCAGUGCUGCAGCUAACGCAUUAAGCACUCCGCCUGGGGAGUACGAUCGCAAGAUUGAAACUCAAAGGAAUUGACGGGGGCCCGCACAAGCGGUGGAGCAUGUGGUUUAAUUCGAAGCAACGCGAAGAACCUUACCAGGUCUUGACAUACCAUGAAAAGCUAAGAGAUUAGUCUUUCCCUUCGGGGACAUGGAUACAGGUGGUGCAUGGUUGUCGUCAGCUCGUGUCGUGAGAUGUUGGGUUAAGUCCCGCAACGAGCGCAACCCUUAUUAUCAGUUGCCAGCAUUCAGUUGGGCACUCUGGUGAGACUGCCGGUGACAAACCGGAGGAAGGUGGGGACGACGUCAAAUCAUCAUGCCCCUUAUGACCUGAGCUACACACGUGCUACAAUGGUCGGUACAACG
rnacentral:rRNA from 1 species